AUGGUGUACGACACGGAGGAGAUCAUCGAGAGGGCACACCGUGGCAUCUUGGACUACAUCAAGCACGCGCUUACCCUCUUCACCAACUUCGUCGCCGUCCUCAUCCGAGUCCUCGUCAUCAUGGGGUUUUUGACAGCAUUGUUCUGCGGAUCCCCAACCCGUCCCGAUCCGCGACCUUUGAUCUCCAACCACCAUGAUGUGCCCCAGAUCCGCAGCCUUCGACCUCCACCUCCACCUCCUGCCGCGUGCCCGGAUCGGCGGCCUACCUCUCAUGCACCUCCGCUGGCCACUGAGUGCCAUCACUGCCCUUCCUUCACCUUGGCCUUGGCUUCAGUCCGGUUGCACCUGCGACGACCACAUCUUCCUUGUCCCCCUUCUUGCCAAGAUCCGCUGCAGGUUCAAAUCCCUUCAGUUCACUUCGAUCUCUCCCUAGUAAGUUCAGUGUGUGUCAAUGGAAUUGUUUUUACCCAAAAUGUGGCAGUGAUCUCUGUAUUCUGCGAACAGCCCCUGCUGUGGCAUCGUUGUUGUUUGUGCUCAGUACAAAAUUAA
rnacentral:rRNA from 1 species